rnacentral:rRNA from 1 species
GUUCCUACGGGGCGCAGCAGUGGGGAAUAUUGCACAAUGGGGGAAACCCUGAUGCAGCGACGCCGCGUGAGCGAUGAAGUAUUUCGGUAUGUAAAGCUCUAUCAGCAGGGAAGAAAAUGACGGUACCUGACUAAGAAGCCCCGGCUAACUACGUGCCAGCAGCCGCGGUAAUACGUAGGGGGCAAGCGUUAUCCGGAUUUACUGGGUGUAAAGGGAGCGUAGACGGUCCUGCAAGCCAGAUGUGAAAGCCCGGGGCUCAACGUGGGAACUGCCUUUGAAACUGGCAAACUGGAG